rnacentral:tRNA from 1 species
ACUUAAUUAGUUUAAACUAAAAUUUCAGUUUGUGGAACUGGGGAUAUAUAUUUAUAUAUUAAGUA